AGCUCCUCAUUGCCUUUUGGCUUUGAUCAAGUGUAGUAACUGUUCUUUUUGGUUUAAUCUCCAAAACCGCCCCUACGGGGGUGAGACACGAAGAUUAGUUUUUGGAAACCGUCUCUGAGGCGCUGGGCUCCGCUCAUCUUCAGAGGCACAGUGUCGCCCGUAUUGCACUGCCUCGGGCUGACGCGACCCUCA
rnacentral:snRNA from 1 species